rnacentral:rRNA from 1 species
GACGUAGGGCGCGAGCGUUGUCCGGAUUUAUUGGGCGUAAAGGGCGCGUAGGCGGCACGACAAGUCGGGAGUGAAAGCCCGGGGCUCAACCCCGGAAUGUCUCUCGAAACUGUCGAGCUAGAGUGCAGAAGAGGCAACUGGAAUUCCCAGUGUAGCGGUGAAAUGCGUAGAUAUUGGGAAGAACACCUGAGGCGAAGGCGGGUUGCUGGGCUGACACUGACGCUGAGGCGCGAAAGCCAGGGGAGCGAACGGG